rnacentral:rRNA from 1 species
AUUGAACGCUGGCGGCAGGCUUAACACAUGCAAGUCGAGCGGGGUGAUGGUGCUUGCACUAUCACUUAGCGGCGGACGGGUGAGUAAUGCUUAGGAAUCUGCCUAUUAGUGGGGGACAACAUCUCGAAAGGGAUGCUAAUACCGCAUACGUCCUACGGGAGAAAGCAGGGGAUCACUUGUGACCUUGCGCUAAUAGAUGAGCCUAAGUCGGAUUAGCUAGUUGGUGGGGUAAAGGCCUACCAGGCGACGAUCUGUAGCGGGUCUGAGAGGAUGAUCCGCCACACUGGGACUGAGACACGGCCCAGACUCCUACGGGAGGCAGCAGUGGGGAAUAUUGGACAAUGGGGGGAACCCUGAUCCAGCCAUGCCGCGUGUGUGAAGAAGGCCUUAUGGUUGUAAAGCACUUUAAGCGAGGAGGGGGCUCUUUUGGUUAAUACCCAAGAUGAGUGGACGUUACUCGCAGAAUAAGCACCGGCUAACUCUGUGCCAGCCGCCGCUGUAA